rnacentral:lncRNA from 10 species
AGCCCUCAGCGUACAUGCCAGCUAAUUACAGAUGCAGGAGCAAACCCCUGGCCCAUACAUCAGUUGGGUGUGGUGACUCACACCUGCAAUCCCAGCACUUCAGGAGGCUGAAGAGAGCAGAUCACUUGCGGCCAGGAGUUCGAGACCAGUCUGGGCAACAUAAUGGAGUUUCGCUCUUGUUGCCCAGGCUGGAGUGCAACGGCACGAUCUCAGCUCACCGCAACCUCAGCCUCCCAAGUUCAAGCAAUUCUCCUGCCUCAGCGUCCUGAGUAGCUGGAAUUACAGGGUUUCACCAUGUUGGCUAGGCUGGUCACAAACUCCCGACCUCAGGUUAUCCAUCUGCCUUGGCCUCCCAAAGUGCUGGGAUUACAGGCGUGAGCCCCCGCACCUGGCCAAGAUCAGCUAGAUUUUGGAAGCAUUGCCUUCUACAGAAUCCACAGUAGUCCGAAGCUCUUCUACGGUUUUUGUCAAACUUUGAUUUUCCAUCUCUAGCUUCAAUAAUCUACUUGAUGUCAACUCAUUCACCUCAUGGCCCAGGGAUUUCUGGGGUGCUAUAAUAUUGAAAAAUACACCAUUGUAUUUACUCUUUACUGUUUUUACUAUGUUUACUCUUUACU